rnacentral:lncRNA from 1 species
GUUCAGGCCUUAAAAAUCAGUGAGGUUUACUCUUCCUUUUCGAUGCCCGUGGAACUACUGUCAAUGGUUUACUUCUUAGGAAUGUUAAAAAAAAAAAAGAUUACUACGUGAUUUUUUGAAUAUGCCUAUAUCUAUCGCUUUUGCUUCAUUGAUUUGAUUCUCUCAAUAGAUACUGAGAUUCAUAUUGGAAAUCAAAAAUAUAGUAAUUCAAACUAUAAGACAUAGGAGUAAUUCAGAUUGAUCAGAACAAAUAGAUAUAGCAAAUAAAUGGAAUUGGAUGCUAUGUCAAUCCCAUAUAUGGAAUUGAUAUUCACAUAUAUCAAGAUAAUAUUGUAGAUUGAUAUAUAGAUCCAUAUCAAAUGCAGCCUCUAUCUUUAUUUUAUUCCAGGGGGCAGCUUUAUAACAAGAAUCUAACUAAUAAAUAGUAUGGUAGAAAGAAAUAGAUGAAUCUUUCUACCAUACUAUCUAUCUAUUAGAAUACUGCCGAUUCUAGUCCACUCAUUUCAUUUAAGACAUGAAAUUGGAAUCUUUUUCAUUUUAUUUCGUCAAUUUUGGCUAAGAACUCAGAAGUCAAGUUUCAUUCAAAUUAGUUAAUAAUUAAUCGUUUUGACUGACUGUUUUUACAUAAAUGAUAAGUAGAAAAGCGGUAGGAACUAGAAUAAAUAGUGCAGUAGCAAUAAAUGCAAGAAUAUUUACUUCCAUAAUCUCAUCGGUUUUUUACUUCGCAAUAACUCGGGAUUUAAUCCCAUAGAGAUGAUAAAUCUUUGGCCUGUAAAUUCAAUGAAUGAAUAUUACCUCUCGAUGAUCUUGAAUCAGAUCAAUAUCAUGAAUAACAAUAUCUGAACUAUCAAAUAAAUUCGUCGUCGAGAAUUGAAUAGUAUAACAUAGGAAGUUCUUUUAUCCAUACCGCCCCAAACUCGGAUUGCUGACCUAACCCAAAAUUCCUUUAUUUAUUUAUCAUUUUUUAUUAUCUGUUCUUUUUUUCUCUCUAAUCUAUCUAGUUCCUUCUUGUACAAUCAUCUGAUGAAGUCUCAUCAAAUAGCUCUUCCACUUCCAGUGGUCACAUAGUUACAAACCCAAACAAACAAUAAAAGCUAAAUGGAAAAAGAAAGGAGUUUAGAACGAAACUAUUUUUGACUUGGAAGACAAAGAAGUGUGAUAAAGAUGAGACCGUAUAAAAUGAAUAUUCAUCAAAUUGACUAUUUUCCGAUUUGUUCGUUCGUCGAUGGGGCCUUAAAACAAAAUGAAAAAUAGGAAAAAUGAUUCAUUCGCCUUUCUAAGAGGAGUAGGAUCUUUGGUUGAUCUGUCCUUCCCCCUCCUUUCUUCGUCGAUUAUUAGCCCCGGGACACCUAUACCAAAAGCUCAGUGUGCAAUUUGCAUGAAAUCUAUUUUGCAACUUCAAACUAGUAAGUCAGGUUCCAUAAAUCCGUAGCCAGAAAAAGAAAUUGUUUUUUUUUUUUUUUGUUUUUUCUGGAAAGUAUUUUCUUAUAUUCAAUUUUGUAUUGGACAACAAAGGAAUUCCUUUUGUGUAUGCGCGCCUCAAAAAAGUAUAGUACUCGAUUCCAUUACAUGCAUCGGGGGCAAUCGAAAAAGCCAGCAUUUCUUGGAAUACUGACUAUAAUGCUACCAAUAAUUGUACUAAUCCAACCGCAUAUGUCUUUCUCCUACCAAAAGGAAAGAAAAAAGAAAUAAGGAUUUCCCCUUUGCUUUGACAAUGGAAUUCUUCCCCCGGUCCCCUUCAGAAAAAGGGAGAGAUUUUUUGAUAUAUUUAUUGGAUCCGUCGGGACUGACGGGGCUCGAACCCGCAGCUUCCGCCUUGACAGGGCGGUGCUCUGACCAAUUGAACUACAAUCCCAGGGAAAUACGGGAUCUAGCAGAAAAUUUGAUUCUUUUUUAUCUCCGGAUCGGGUAUUUCUGAAGUACAAAGGGAGUUAUAUCAUCUCAUGGCGGAUUGGCGAAUUAUUGGGCCGAGCUGGAUUUGAACCAGCGUAGACAUAUUGCCAACGAAUUUACAGUCCGUCCCCAUUAACCGCUCGGGCAUCGACCCAGGAAGAAUCAAUUUUCAACUUAUUGGUAAUCCAUGAUCAAUUUCCUUUCGUAGUACCCUACCCCCAGGGGAAUUCGAAUCCCCGCUGCCUCCUUGAAAGAGAGAUGUCCUAAACCACUAGACGAUGGGGGCCCGCUUGACCAACGGCCAUCAUACUAUGAUGAUAGUAUGAUCCGUUUUUUAAAAUUGUCAAUAUAAUCAAAUGAUUCUAGCCGAGGGAUCUUUCCCCCCUUCAGAAUUGCAUAGAAUUGUUUUUUAUUCGUCAUUGACGAAUUAUUCAUUAGAAUCGACAUUAGAAAUCUAGUAGUAGUAUUUUUUUUUAAUUAUUUCAAUUGAAUUUAUUUCUAUUCGAGUCGGUCUUGAAACAAUUCAUUGCAUUUUCUCCUAUACUUCCUAGGUAAAUCCAUUUUAUUAUUCAACAAUGAGCCACUAGACACUAUGUAUCUACUGCAC